rnacentral:rRNA from 1 species
GAAAACCAACUGGGAUUACCUUAGUAACGGCGAGUGAAGCGGUAAAAAGCUCAAAUUUGAAAAUCUGGUACUUUCAGUGCCCGAGUUGUAAUUUGUAGAAUUUGUCUUUGAUUAGGUCCUUGUCUAUGUUCAUUGGAACAGGACGUCAUAGAGGGUGAGAAUCCCGUUUGGCGAGGAUACCUUUUCUCUGUAAGACUUUUUCGAAGAGUCGAGUUGUUUGGGAAUGCAGCUCAAAGUGGGUGGUAAAUUCCAUCUAAAGCUAAAUAUUGGCGAGAGACCGAUAGCGAACAAGUACAGUGAUGGAAAGAUGAAAAGAACUUUGAAAAGAGAGUGAAAAAGUACGUGAAAUUGUUGAAAGGGAAGGGCAUUCGAUCAGACAUGGUGUUUUUUGCAUGCACUCGCCUCUCGUGGGCUUGGGCCUCUCAAAAAUUUCACUGGGCCAACAUCAAUUCUGGCAGCAGGAUAAAUCAUUAAGAAUGUAGCUACUUCGGUAGUGUUAUAGCUUUUUGGAAAUACUGUUAAGCC